GGUUCCCUUCAAUCAGGGAGUCCUGGCUGUAAAGUCAACGGUACUGUUAAUGGCCAUUUUCCUGAUGCAGAUAACGUAGGAAUGGUCGUUGUCAGGGAUAUUGUCAGUAAGUGUGUCAUUGCCCAAUUUAGAGCACACAGAAGUCCUAUUUCAGCGUUGUGCUUUGAUCCUAGUGGGACCCUUUUAGUUACUGCCUCAGUUCAUGGCCAUAACAUAAAUGUUUUCAAAAUAAUGCCUGGACUCUCAGGAAGCUCUUUCAUGGUUGAUGCUGGUACAUCUUACGCACAUCUUUACAGGCUGCAACGUGGAUAUACCAAUGCAGUUAUACAGGACAUCAGUUUCAGU
rnacentral:misc_RNA from 1 species